ensembl:lncRNA
AUGUCAUACUGUUUUCCAACAUACAUAUAUAUAUAUAUUUUUUAUAAGUAAUAAAAAUACAUUUUUCCCAAGCACACAAAGAACAUUUACCAAUAGUGACAAUAUAUUACGUCACAAAAAAAUCAUAAACUUCUACAAGAAAAAUAUGCAAACCAUGUUAUUUGAGAGACAUUCCAUACUCUUGGACAACUUAUUAUGAAAGCGUCACUUCUCUGUAAAUUAAUCUAGGAAUUCAAAAACAUUUCCAAUCAAAAUUCUAGUUGGAUCUUUUGAGGAACUCUAUAAUCUUAACUGAAAAUAUAUACAAAAAUAAAAAUCUUUAAUAUCUAAGUCAAUUUUGAAAAAUAACAAAGAAAAAGAAUUUGCCUUUUAGGAUAUUAAGACAUAACCUCGAAACUAUAGAGGAGCUCCCUUGUGGCACAGGAGGGUUAAAGAUCCAGCUUUGUCACUGCAGUGGCUUAGGUCACUGAUGGGACAUAGGUUCAAUCUCUGGCCCAGGAACUUCCACGUGCCAUGGCGCAGCCAAAAAAAAAAAAAAAAAGAAAACCCAUUUAAAAAAAAAAAUCCCACAGUCAUAGAAACAGUAUGGCACUGCCAUAAGAAUAACCAGACCAACAAAAAAGAAUAGAGAGGUCAAAACAGGAUAUAUAUGGGAACUUGUUAUAUUAUAAAGUGGCAUUACAAAGAACAGGUUGUCUAAUAGAACGAACAAAAUAAAUCAAAGAUCUAAAUAGCAAAAGCAAAACUGUGUGUGUACAGCAUCACAAAAUAAAAAGUAUCCCUUACUAUGGGGCAAAAAAUGGUUAAAAGCCACUCUUGGAAAACAAGAAAAAAACAGCAACCCCAGUAGAAAAUAGAAAAAGCAUUAACAAGCAUUUUAGAGAUGAAUAAAUCAAAAAAAUUACUAAGGACAUAAAGAGUUGCUCAUUCUCAUUAGUAAUCAAAGAAAAACACUUAAAAAGCUAGAUAUUGCCAAAUAUUGGCAGGGUUGUGUGGAUACGGGAUACACUACUCCUAGAAAUGGAGCAUUUUAUAGGUAGCUGAAGUACCACUGUUUCAGAGACUCCAACUUGGGCCCUAGAAUAUAGACAGAAACUAGUAACACUGAACAUGUUUAAUUCAACACUAUGUAUCUUCAUAUAUAAAUAUGCCACAGAAAUCUUUUCAAGAGAUGUAAAGUAUGAAAAUUUUUUUUCAAAUGGAAAAUACUUAUCUACCCCAGAGAGAGAUUCCUAGAGCAUAAAAGAAAUGUACACACUGAUAAAUCAGUAUUACCGAGCAGAGGGAAAGAUGGGAGCUCAAGCACACAACUAGAGAUCACAGGUCCCAGAUUUAGUCCCUUUAUAGGUAUUUUUUCCCAAGCCAUCUUUAAAAUAUGGGGAAGCAAAAAUAUUGCCAAAAAAUUAUCUCUUUAUAAUACGCCUGCUCCUCUCCCUACACUCACUCCCUGAAAUCAGGCAACAAGCAAUUAGUAAAAAUUGCUGUCCUAUAUUUCACAUCCCUAUAGGCUACUGUUCAUACUUCCUGUCCCAAUACAAUACUAGACACCACAACUCUAGAUAGUCUAAUAAAAAUCUAUCUAUAUGCAGUAUGUACAAUAUUUCCUGACUGUACAACAGUGGCCUUCUUUACUUUUUCAGAUAUUUGUGAAAACUGAUUGAACGGCAUCAAAAAGUAGUGAUAAAUAUACAUGAGGCAGUAAGAUAUAUAAGUGGAGGAGGCAGAACUAGAUUUAAAUAGUACCCUACCACUUAUGCCUAUUUGGUCUUCGACAGGCCACCUAAGCUCUUCAGCAAUUCAAUUUCCUCAGCUGUAAAGUGGGGAUACCAUCACCUGCCUUACAGGAUUGUUGCAGGAAUUAGAUACGACAGCAUUAAACAUCUGGCAUGGGCUGCUAAACAAACUUUAGUUUACUCCUCUCAUUAGGCUACCACCAAAUGGGCCAAAGGGCAAAAUGCAGCAAGUAAAUACAGUAAAAGUGAAGACUGCCAACUUAAAAAUAAUUUUAAAUGAGGCUACUUUCCAUUGAUACACCCAAAAACUAUAUAUUGAGCGCUAUGUCUAGAAGGCGUUGUUGCAGGCACUACAGCUGUGAGCAUGACCGUCUCCAUCCUUAAAGAACCCCAAGAAGUUCCACUCAAAACAUUCAGUGAGUAAAAAAUUAAAACUUUUCUUGAAGUAAGUGAGUAUCCAGGUCAUCUGGCCCCCACUUUUAACUGAUUUAUCCUGUUAAUAAUUUCUCAUUUGUAUAUCACGUACAUACUUAGAGCCUUGAAAGUAAAGGCUGUGUCUUAUUAACCCUCUAUUCUCAGAGUCCAAUCAUCACAAUUUUCACAUAUUAAGCUGGCUAUUUAAUAUGUUAUUCAUUUAUUCACUUAACAAAUAAUUAUUAAGCAUCUUCUAUAUUCCAAAUGAUGCACUAGGCUCUGGGAGGUGGGAAAAAGUUUAGGGAGGUGGGAAAAAGUUACAAUGCCUGCUGUCAGGGAGCUUAUGGUCUACUCUAAUAGAUGAGUCUAAGAGAGAAAGACUUUAACCAAAGGUAUAUAUCCUACUACCUCCAGAUAAAAAUAAAAUAGCAAUCUAAAAAUGAGAUCUGGCAUUGCUGUGAGCUGUGGUGUAGGUCUCAGACACAGUUCGGCUCCUGCAUUGCUGUGGCUGUGGUGUAGGCUGGCAGCUGCAGCUCCGAUUCAACCCCUAGCCUGGGAACUUCCAUAUGCUGCAGGUGUGGCCCCAAAAAACAAAAAACAACAACAACAAAAAACACUUGAGAGCAGAGCUUACCAAACUCAAAUUAAUCUAUUUCAGAAAUACACAGCAAAGAAAUAUAUACCCUGCUUCAUAAAUAUACUCUCCAUAAACUGAAAUUCAGAAUUAUAAUUUAUCCUCUUCUAAAGGACCAAUCACAACACAGGAUUAGUAAACCUCUUAAAUUUCCUCAGAGGAAGCAAUUAGAUCAUUCCAUUAUCUACAAGAGUCAAAAUACAAAUCUUAAAACUGAAAAACAAAUAUUUCAAAGUAAAUCCUCAUUUGCCUGUUGUUCAUGGUCUUUUAAAACAUUUUAAAAGGAUCUUUGAAACAAAGUUUCAUUAGCAUCCUUCUAGAAAAAGCUCUAAUACCUUCAUUCUUCCAGCAAUUUAAAAGCCACCACAUGUUCAUUUCUACAUUAGACUAUUGAUUCCUUGCCUUUUAACAUCUCCAUAACAGCUGCUUGACAAAUUAGUUCACCUUAUUCUCCAGGGGGUAAGGACAGCAUAAUAUCCAUGAAUUCAAAAAUGGGACCACAAAAUGAUCAGUGACAGAUGAGCUAAUUGCUUCAGAUAAACGAGACACUGCUCUAACAGUCUAGGCAUUCAUAGCAUCAUACAAUUAAAUGCUUACACUCUAAAUAUUUUAUUUGUACUUAAGAACAGAGGCAAAUCUUUCUUAAAUUACUUUUAAAAUAUAUUUUAGCUUAGGAAAGUCAGUACACUCGUACAUGUUUGGAAUAAUUUCUACAGAAAGCCUAGUUUUUCUUAUUUCAAUCUAAAAGAUCUGUAAGCCCCAAAAUAGUCUAAUAAGACAACUUUUAAAAUAUUUUCCACAUUUUUAGCAAAAUAAAAGCCAAACACAUUUUCAUACAACAUAUUUCAGAAAACUUCAGUAAAAUAUGUCUAUUGUAUUUGCCUCAGUUCAUUCUGGUAUCAGAACAGUGAGAGAUACACAGAAAAAGCACA